rnacentral:lncRNA from 1 species
AAUAUGCAAGUAUGCUUGCAUUAAGAAAAGCUGUAAAGUCCUUUGAUAGAUAAUAGAAACACAUGUACAAGGACUUAGAAUGAAUUGAUCAAAUAUGUUAGGUUGAUUCUACAUAAGCAAAAUAGCUCUGUAAAGUCCUUAAAAAAAGAAAUGAUGUACAAGGACUAUAAACAUAGAAAGAUCAAACAUGUUAGGUUGAUCUUAUGAUGUAAUAGAUAGGCUUGUCUGAUCGCCAAGCACUGCACCAGAAAUCGUAGUCUGCUAGGAGAGUCAAGGAUAACUCAAGAGCUAUCGAGGCAGAAUCGUAGUCUGCAAGAUAGUAGAUCUCGGAGUUCGUAGACUUCCAGGACAGACGAGGAAGGAUCGUAGUGUGUCGAGUAAAGCUUUCUCGGAGCCGUAGACUGCUGAGGAAGUCAUGUUCAGAAUCGUAGAGACAACCUGCCUACAAGUCGACCAAGCAUCUGCCAAAGUCAAGUCAAGAAUCGUAAACUACACUCGGAGUCGUAGAGUCUACUAACAGCCAAGUCAAGGAUCAUAGACUACACUCAGAGUCGUAGAGUCUACUGAUCGUAUCAAAGGCAAAAAUCAUAGUCGAG